rnacentral:lncRNA from 1 species
AUUAUAGUGGAUUAUAGUGGACUAUAGUGGUGUAUAACGGUGGAUUAUAGUGGAUUAUAGUGGUGUAUAACGGUGGAUUAUAGUGGAUUAUAGUGGUGUAUAACAGUGGAUUAUAGUGGAUUAUAGUGGAUUAUAGUGGUGAGUAACAGUGGAUUAUAGUGGAUUAUAGUGGUGUAUAACAGUGGAUAAUAGUGGUGUAUAACAGUGGAUAAUAGUGGAUUAUAGUGGAUUAUAGUGGAUUAUAGUGGAUUAUAGUGGAUUAUAGUGGUGAGUAACAGUGGAUUAUAGUGGAUAAUAGUGGUGUAUAACAGUGGAUUAUAGUGGAUUAUAGUGGUGUAUAACAGUGGAUUAUAGUGGAUUAUAGUGGUGUAUAACAGUGGAUUAUAGUGGAUUAUAGUGGUGUAUAACAGUGGAUUAUAGUGGUGUAUAACAGUGGAUUAUAGUGCAUUAUAGUGGUGUAUAACAGUGGAUUAUAGUGGUGUAUAACAGUGGAUUAUAGUGGAUUAUAGUGGUGUAUAACAGUGGAUUAUAGUGGAUUAUAGUGGUGUAUAACAGUGGAUUAUAGUGGAUUAUAGUGGAUUAUAGUGGACUAUAGUGGUGUAUAACGGUGGAUUAUAGUGGAUUAUAGUGGUGUAUAACAGUGGAUUAUAGUGGAUUAUAGUGGUGUAUAACAGUGGAUUAUAGUGGAUUAUAGUGGAUGAUUUGGAAGAUCUAUUAGCAUCCAGUCCCUUUAGACACAGAAUGCUACAGCGUGAUAGACAGGUAGAAUGCUACAGCGUGAUAGACAGGCAGAAAGCUACAGCGUGAUAGAUAGAAUGCUACAGCGUGAUAGACAGGCAGAAUGCUACAGCGUGAUAGACAGGCAGAAUGCUACAGCGUGAUAGAUAGAAUGCUACAGCGUGAUAGACAGGCAGAAUGCUACAGCGUGAUAGACAGGCAGAAUGCUACAGCGUGAUAGACAGGCAGAAUGCUACAGCGUGAUAGACAAGCAGAAUGCUACAGCGUGAUAGACAAGCAGAAUGCUACAGCGUGAUAGAUAGGCAGAAUGCUACAGCGUGAUAGAUAGAAUGCUACAGCGUGAUAGACAGGCAGAAUGCUACAGCGUGAUAGAUAGGCAGAAUGCUACAGCGUGAUAGAUAGGCAGAAUGCUACAGCGUGAUAGACAGGCAGAAUGCUACAGCGUGAUAGACAGGCAGAAUGCUACAGCGUGAUAGAUAGAAUGCUACAGCGUGAUAGACAGGCAGAAUGCUACAGCGUGAUAGACAGGCAGAAUGCUACAGCGUGAUAGACAGGCAGAAUGCUACAGCGUGGUAGACAGGCAGAAUGCUACAGCGUGGUAGACAGGCAGAAUGCUACAGCGUGGUAGAUAGAAUGCUACAGCGUGAUAGACAGGCAGAAUGCUACAGCGUGAUAGACAGGCAGAAUGCUACAGCGUGAUAGACAGGCAGAAUGCUACAGUGUGGUAGACAGGCAGAAUGCUACAGCGUGGUAGACAGGCAGAAUGCUACAGCGUGGUAGACAGGCAGAAUGCUACAGCGUGGUAGACAGGCAGAAUGCUACAGCGUGAUAGAUAGACAGGCAGAAUGCUACAGCGUGAUAGAUAGACAGGCAGAAUGCUACAGCGUGAUAGAUAGGCAGAAUGCUACAGCAUGGUAGAUAGAAUGCUACAGCGUGAUAGAUAGACAGGCAGAAUGCUACAGCGUGAUAGACAGGCAGAAUGGUACAGCGUGAUAGACAGGCAGAAUGCUACAGUGUGGUAGACAGGCAGAAUGCUACAGCGUGAUAGAUAGACAGGCAGAAUGCUACAGCGUGAUAGAUAGGCAGAAUGCUACAGCAUGGUAGAUAGAAUGCUACAGCGUGAUAGAUAGACAGGCAGAAUGCUACAGCGUGGUAGAUAGGCAGAAUGCUACAGCGUGAUAGACAGGCAGAAUGCUACAGCGUGGUAGACAGGCAGAAUGCUACAGCGUGAUAGACAGGCAGAAUGCUACAGCGUGAUAGAUAGGCAGAAUGCUACAGCGUGAUAGACAGGCAGAAUGCUACAGCGUGAUAGAUAGAUAGGCAGAAUGCUACAGCGUGAUAGAUAGGCAGAAUGCUACAGCGUGAUAGAUAGAUAGGCAGAAUGCUACAGCGUGAUAGAUAGAUAGGCAGAAUGCUACAGCGUGAUAGAUAGGCAGAAUGCUACAGCGUGAUAGAUAGAUAGGCAGAAUGCUACAGCGUGAUAGAUAGAUAGGCAGAAUGCAGAUGAGGAGUUUCGGCAAUGGUUCGGGUUCCAUUUUAAAGACGUGAAGGAAUCCCUGAAAGGGUGUAAAUUUAGAGGAUAUCGUUCUAGUGCAGUACUUGGAUGAUUUGUUUUUAGCCUCAAAAGACCAUGAUACUUACAUACGUGGCCUCACCACACCGGUUAACUAACUAUUUGGCAAAGCAGGACCAUGAAGCGUCGUAUGAAAAAAGGCCAAUUGGCAAACAGGAGGAAAUGUAUUAGGUGGUCUUGAUUUCUAAAGGCAUGACAAACAUUACUAGCACCACACAUCAACACCAUUCGUGCUCUGGCAUGACCAAACACUCCUCGAACGCUCAGACAAACCCUGGGGGGGGUUUAAUUUAAUGAGAAACCUUAAUCUGUCUUAUUCUGAAAUAGCUGAACCUCUUACAGAAUUGACGAAAAGGGAGGAGGGUUCCCCUUGAGAGAAAAGAGCGGAGUCAAGAUUGUGAGGAAGCGUUUUUGAAGAGUUAAGGAAACCGUUGUGUCAAGCGCAUGAACUGGAGUUUCCUUUUAAAAUGUUUGUGAAUGAACAACUGUUCAUUCACCUGUUCCUUCAGUUAAUCAUUUAUUAAUGUGAUGCAUUUCUUCAUCUAUUUGUUGAUGAAUUCCUUUCUGUGUUCUUCAGCUUCAUGUUAUCCUCCUCCAUACGGUGAUACCUUGGAGAAUACUGCCUCCUGGUGCUACAACAGGAGAAGUGUUGAAUGAUAAAAGCAGAGGCUUGGAACUGACAUGAAUACUGUACAAUGAUGUAUAAUGACCCUACAUGACUGACAGGGGGAGCUGUUUUGAUGCCAUGACCCUACAUGACUGACAGGGGGAGCUGUUUUGAUGCCAUGACCCUACAUGACUGACAGGGGGAGCUGUUUUGAUGCCAUGAACCUACAUUUAAAAAAUAUAUAUAUAUAUAUUUCACCUUUAUUUAACCAGGUAGGCAAGUUGAGAACAAGUUCUCAUUUACAAUUGCGACCUGGCCAAGAUAAAGCAAAGCAGUUUGACACAAACAACAACACAGAGUUACACAUGGAGUAAAACAAACAUACAGUCAAUAAUAUAUUAGAAAAAUAAGUCUAUAUACAAAGUGAGCAAAUGAGGUGAGGUAAGGGAGGUAAAGGAAAAAAAAGCCAUGGUGGCGAAGUAAAUACAAUAUAGCAACUAAAAAACACUGGAAUGGUAGAUUUGCAGUGGAAGAAAGUGCAAAGUAGAAAUAGAAAUAAUGGGGUGCAAAGGCAAAAUAAAUAAAUACAGUAGGGGAAGUGGUAGUUGUUUGGGCUAAAUUAUAGAUGGGCUAUGUACAGGUGCAGUAAUCUGUGAGCUGCUCUGACAGCUGGUGCUUAAAGCUAGUGAGGGAGAUAAGUAUUUCCAGUUUUAGAGAUUUUUGUAGUUCGUUCCAGUCAUUGGCAGCAGAGAACUGGAAGGAGAGGCGGCCGAAGGAGGAAUUGGCUUUGGGGGUGACCAGAGAGAUAUACCUGCUGGAGCGCGUGCUACGAGUGGGUGCUGCUAUGGUGACCAGUGAGCUGAGAUAAGGCGGAGCUUUACCUAGCAAAGACUUGUAGACGACCUGGAGCCAGUGGGAUUGGCGACGAGUAUGAAGCGAGGGCCAGCCAACGAGAGGGUACAGGUCGCAGUGGUGGGUAGUAUAUGGGGCUUUGGUGACAAAACGGAUGGCACUGUGAUAGACUGCAUCCAAUUUAUUGAGUAGGGUAUUGGAGGCUAUUUUGUAAAUGACAUCGCCGAAGUCGAGGAUCGGUAGGAUGGUCAGUUUUACGAGGGUAUGUUUGGCAGCAUGAGUGAAAGAUGCUUUGUUGCGAAAUAGGAAGCCAAUUCUAGAUUUAACUCUGGAUUGGAGAUGUUUGAUGUGAGUCUGGAAGGAGAGUUUAGUCUAACCAGACACCUAGGUAUUUGUAGUUGUCCACAUAUUCUAAGUCAGAACCGUCCAGAGUAGUGAUGCUGGACGGGCGGGUAGGUGCAGGCAGCGAUCGGUUGAAGAGCAUGCAUUUAGUUUUACUUGUAUUUAAGAGCAGUUGGAGGCCACGGAAGGAGAGUUGUAUGGCAUUGAAGCUCGUCUGGAGGGUAGUUAACACAGUGUCCAAAGAAGGGCCAGAAGUAUACAGAAUGGUGUCGUCUGCAUAGAGGUGGAUCAGAGACUCACCAGCAGCAAGAGCGACAUCAUUGAUGUAUACAGAGAAAAGAGUCGGCCCAAGAAUUGAACCCUGUGGCACUCCCAUAGAGACUGCCAGUGGCCCGGACAACUGGCCCUCCGAUUUGACACACUGAACUUUAUCAGAGAAGUAGUUGGUGAACCAGACGAGGCAGUCAUUAGAGAAACCAAGGCUGCUGAGUCUGCCGAUGAGGAUGUGGUGAUUGACAGAGUCGAAAGCCUUCGCCAGGUCAAUGAAUACGGCUGCACAGUACUGUUUCUUAGGACCUUGAGCGUGGCUGAGGUGCACCCAUGACCAGCUCUGAAACCAGAUUGCAUAGC